rnacentral:rRNA from 1 species
AGAGCGGCGGACGGGUGAGUAACGCGUGGGAACGUACCCUUUGCUACGGAAUAGCCUCGGGAAACUGGGAGUAAUACCGUAUGUGCCCCGUCGGGGGAAAGAUUUAUCGGCAAAGGAUCGGCCCGCGUUGGAUUAGGUAGUUGGUGGGGUAAUGGCCUACCAAGCCGACGAUCCAUAGCUGGUUUGAGAGGAUGAUCAGCCACACUGGGACUGAGACACGGCCCAG